rnacentral:rRNA from 1 species
GACGAACGCUGGCGGCGUGCUUAACACAUGCAAGUCGAACGGAAAGGCCUGCUUUCCCUUGUGGAUUGCGGGUACUCGAGUGGCGAACGGGUGAGUAACACGUGAGUGAUCUGCCCCCAACUUGGGUAUAAGCCUGGGAAACUGGGUCUAAUUCCCGAUAGGACUGCAGGGUGGUGCCUGUGGUGGAAAACGAUUUUCUAGUGGUUGGGGAUGAGCUCGCGGCCUAUCAGCUUGUUGGUGGGGUAAUGGCCUACCAAGGCGGCGUCGGGUAGCCGGCCUGAGAGGGUGGACGGCCACAUUGGGACUGAGAUACGGCCCAGACUCCUACGGGAGGCAGCAGUGGGGAAUAUUGCACAAUGGGCGGAAGCCUGAUGCAGCGACGCCGCGUGGGGGAUGGCGGCCUUCGGGUUGUAAACUCCUUUCGACCGCGAGGAAGCCACCUGGUUGGAAGGGUGGUGACGGUAGUGGUAGAAGAAGCACCGGCUAACUACGUG